UUAAGCAUAUCAAUAAGCGGAGGAAAAGAAACUAACAAGGAUUCCCCUAGUAACGGCGAGUGAACCGGGAAGAGCUCAAAUUUGAAAUCUGGCGUGCUCAGUGCGUCCGAGUUGUAAUCUAUAGAGUCGUUUUCCGUGCCGGACUGUGUCCAAGUCCCUUGGAACAGGGUAUCAAAGAGGGUGAUAAUCCCGUACUUGACACAAUGACCGGUGCUCUGUGAUACGUCUUCUACGAGUCGAGUUGUUUGGGAAUGCAGCUCAAAAUGGGUGGUGAGUUCCAUCUAAAGCUAAAUAUUGGCGAGAGACCGAUAGCGAACAAGUACCGUGAGGGAAAGAUGAAAAGCACUUUGGAAAGAGAGUUAAACAGUACGUGAAAUUGUUAAAAGGGAAACGAUUGAAGUCAGUCGUGACUGAGAGGCUCAGCCGGUUCUGCCGGUGUAUUCCCCUCAGUCGGGUCAACAUCAGUUUUGUUCGGUGGAUAAGGGCAGUUGGAAGGUGGCACCCUCGGGUGUGUUAUAGCCAGCUGUCGCAUACAUCGGAUGAGACUGAGGAAUGCAGCUCGCCUUUAUGGCCGGGGUUCGCCCACGUUCGAGCUUAGGAUGUUGACAUAAUGGCUUUAAACGACCCGUCUUGAAACACGGACCAAGGA
rnacentral:rRNA from 1 species